rnacentral:rRNA from 1 species
CCCAAGUUGAAGGUCAUCGGCGUUAAGCGUGAUUAAAGUCUAUUUAGAUUAAGAUCUAAUUAAUACUCAGUAGUUUAAAGCUCGCCAUUAAGAAGACCACAAACGAAAGUUAUCUUAACCCAAACACUUGAAUACACGACAGCUGGGAAACAAACUAGGAUCAGAUACCCUACUAUGCCCAGCCGUAAACAAUUAACUCACAUCUAUAAGCGCCAGGGAACUACGAGCCACGCUUAAAACCCAAAGGAUUUGACGGUGUCCCACCCCCCUAGAGGAGCCUGUUCUAUAAUCGAUGAUCCCCGCUAUACCCCACCACCCCUUGCUCGUCAGUCUGUAUACCUCCGUCGAAAGCUUACCAUGUGAACGUCUAUAGUAAGUUCAAUGACCCCUGCCAAUGCGUCAACACGUCAGGUCAAGGUGCAGCUUAAGAGGUGGAAAGUGAUGGGCUACAAUUUCUAACCUAGAACAAACGAAAGGCCAUGUGAAAUCGUGGCCACGAAGGCGGAUUUAGUAGUAAAAAGAAAAUAGAGUGUUCUUUUUAACCCGGCUCUGGGACGCGUACACACCGCCCGUCACCCUCUUCAACAGUAUUACCUAAGUUUCUAACCCAUUUUUACAUCUCAGAAGAGGCAAGUCGUAACAUGGUAAGUGUACUGGAAAGUGCACUUGGUAUAA